UACGUAGGGUGCAGGCGUUAAUCGGAAUUACUGGGCGUAAAGCGUGCGCAGGCGGCCUCUUAAGUCAGAUGUGAAAUCCCCGGGCUUAACCUGGGAACUGCGUUUGAAACUGGGAGGCUUGAGUGUGGAAGAGGGGAAUGGAAUUCCUGGUGUAGCGGUGAAAUGCGCAGAUAUCAGGAAGAACACCCGUGGCGAAGGCGGUUCUCUGGGACGGUACUGACGCUGAGACGCGAAAGCGUGGGGAGCGAACAGG
rnacentral:rRNA from 1 species